UUUUAAAAAAUAACCCACAACCUGAAAGACAAAUUAUUUAUUUCCUUGUGUUCCUAGAAGAUACUAAAGACAUGCGGACUACUCUGCAGUACAAUCCCAGGAAGAGCACUGGAACUGAAGACACAGGGGAUGAGAGCCCUGGAAGAAACUCCUGAAUAAACCUGAUCUCAUGUUUUUGUUCCUGAAAUACAGAAGGCUUUGAGACAUGUCUUCUUCCUUCGCUCCUCAAAGGGCUGCGGUAGAGAACAUGAAUUAUGAUGAAUCCUGUGGCUGGUAACAGCAUGUCAGAAGUGGGCACCUCCCUUGGGACAGGACAGAAAGCACAGCCUUCCUUCUUCCUGCCUGCUGCAGCCAGAGCUCAUGCUAUGGAAGAGAAGGUUCAGAACAAACGUACUUAG
rnacentral:lncRNA from 1 species